rnacentral:rRNA from 1 species
GACGAACGCUGGCGGCGUGCUUAACACAUGCAAGUCGAACGGAAAGGCCCUGCUUUUGUGGGGUGCUCGAGUGGCGAACGGGUGAGUAACACGUGAGUAACCUGCCCUUGACUUUGGGAUAACUUCAGGAAACUGGGGCUAAUACCGGAUAGGAGCUCCUGCUGCACGGUGGGGGUUGGAAAGUUUCGGCGGUUGGGGAUGGACUCGCGGCUUAUCAGCUUGUUGGUGGGGUAGUGGCUUACCAAGGCUUUGACGGGUAGCCGGCCUGAGAGGGUGACCGGCCACAUUGGGACUGAGAUACGGCCCAGACUCCUACGGGAGGCAGCAGUGGGGAAUAUUGCACAAUGGGCGGAAGCCUGAGGCAGCAACGCCGCGUGCGGGAUGACGGCCUUCGGGUUGUAAACCGCUUUCGCCUGUGACGAAGCGUGAGUGACGGUAAUGGGUAAAGAAGCACCGGCUAACUACGUG